CAGUCGCCGCGGGAAUACGGAGGGUGCAAGCGUUAAUCGGAAUUACUGGGCGUAAAGCGCACGCAGGCGGUCUGUCAAGUCGGAUGUGAAAUCCCCGGGCUCAACCUGGGAACUGCAUUCGAAACUGGCAGGCUAGAGUCUUGUAGAGGGGGGUAGAAUUCCAGGUGUAGCGGUGAAAUGCGUAGAGAUCUGGAGGAAUACCGGUGGCGAAGGCGGCCCCCUGGACAAAGACUGACGCUCAGGUGCGAAAGCGUGGGGAGCAAACAGGAUUAGAUACCCCGGUAGUCCCUGUCUCUUAUAC
rnacentral:rRNA from 1 species